AUGAACGCUGGCGGCGUGCCUAAUACAUGCAAGUCGAGCGAACAGACGAGGAGCUUGCUCCUCUGACGUUAGCGGCGGACGGGUGAGUAACACGUGGAUAACCUACCUAUAAGACUGGGAUAACUUCGGGAAACCGGAGCUAAUGCCGGAUAAUAUAUUGAACCGCAUGGUUCAAUAGUGAAAGACGGUUUUGCUGUCACUUAUAGAUGGAUCCGCGCCGCAUUAGCUAGUUGGUAAGGUAACGGCUUACCAAGGCAACGAUGCGUAGCCGACCUGAGAGGGUGAUCGGCCACACUGGAACUGAGACACGGUCCAGACUCCUACGGGAGGCAGCAGUAGGGAAUCUUCCGCAAUGGGCGAAAGCUUGACGGAGCAACGCCGCGUGAGUGAUGAAGGUCUUCGGAUCGUAAAACUCUGUUAUUAGGGAAGAACAAAUGUGUAAGUAACUAUGCACGUCUUGACGGUACCUAAUCAGAAAGCCACGGCUAACUACGU
rnacentral:rRNA from 1 species